GAAUCGCAUGCUUGUGCCGGCGAUGGUCAUUCAAAUUUCUGCCCUAUCAACUUUCGAUUGUAGAGUAGUGGUCUACAAUGGUUGCAAGCGGGUAACGGGGAAUUAGGGUUCUAUUCCGGAGAGGGAGCCUGAGAAACGGCUACCACAUCCAAGGAAGGCAGCAGGCGCGCAAAUUACCCAAUCCCGACACGGGGAGGUAGUGACAAUAAAUACUGAUACAGGGCUCUUUUGGGUCUUGUAAUUGGAAUGAGUACAAUUUAAAUCCCUUAACGAGGAACAAUUGGAGGGCAAGUCUGGUGCCAGCAGCCGCGGUAAUUCCAGCUCCAAUAGCGUAUAUUAAAGUUGUUGCAGUUAAAAAGCUCGUAGUUGAAUUUUAGGCUUGGUUAGACGGUCGCCCUUUGGGGUUUGUACUGUCCGGCCGGGCCUUACCUUCUGGUGAGCUGUCGUGUUGUUUACUCAGCGCGGCAGGGAACCAGGACUUUUACUUUGAAAAAAUUAGAGUGUUUAAAGCAGGCUUUCGCCUGAAUACAUUAGCAUGGAAUAAUAAAAUAGGACUUUGGUUCUAUUUGUUGGUUUCUAGGACCGAAGUAAUGAUUAAUAGGGAUAGUUGGGGGCAUUAGUAUUUAAAUUGUCAGAGGUGAAAUUCUUGGAUUUAUUAAAGACUAAUUCU
rnacentral:rRNA from 1 species